GGACGGUUGGCUCAGUGGUAGAGCGCUGCGUUCACAUCGCAGAGGUCGCAGGUUCGAUCCCUGCACCGUCCA
rfam:Candidatus Terrybacteria bacterium RIFCSPHIGHO2_01_FTLL_48_17 rifcsphigho2_01_scaffold_10880, whole genome shotgun sequence.